UGGGGAAUAUUGCACAAUGGGCGCAAGCCUGAUGCAGCCAUGCCGCGUGUGUGAAGAAGGCCUUCGGGUUGUAAAGCACUUUCAGCGAGGAGGAAGGUGGUGGACUUAAUACGUUCAUCAAUUGACGUUACUCGCAGAAGAAGCACCGGCUAACUCCGUGCCAGCAGCCGCGGUAAUACGGAGGGUGCAAGCGUUAAUCGGAAUUACUGGGCGUAAAGCGCACGCAGGCGGUUUGUUAAGUCAGAUGUGAAAUCCCCGGGCUCAACCUGGGAACUGCAUUUGAAACUGGCAAGCUAGAGUCUCGUAGAGGGGGGUAGAAUUCCAGGUGUAGCGGUGAAAUGCGUAGAGAUCUGGAGGAAUACCGGUGGCGAAGGCGGCCCCCUGGACGAAGACUGACGCUCAGGUGCGAAAGCGUGGGGCAGCAAACAGGAUUAGAUACCCUGGUAGGUCCACGCUGUAAACGAUGUCGAUUUGGAGGUUGUG
rnacentral:rRNA from 1 species